AUUUGAGUUUGUAAAUGGAGGCUGAGAUUAAAAUUGUCUUUGGUUUAGUAAGUUAUUUACCUAGCUUGAGAUGUGUAAUGUAUUCUUGUAUGGAUGGUGAGUCAUUUUGUGAAUUGGUUGUGGGAUAAUGAAAGAAUAAGUAGGUUUAUAGGUAUAAUAAAAGUUGUUUUUUUUUUCGGUGGUUGCUUUCAACUGUUUAUUAAAAACAUUUCUAUUUGGGAGAGAUAAAUAGUAUGACCUGCCCAAUGAGCUUUUAAAUGAAUGGCCGCGGCUUUAGUCGUGCUAAGGUAGCAUAAUAUAUAGUUUUUUAAUUGGAGACUUGUGAAUGGUUUAAUGAAAGGUGUCUAAAAUGAUAGCUGUUUCUGAAUUUAGUACGGUGGUCAGGAAUCCAUUGUUGAGAUAUAGGACGGAAAGACCCCAAGAGCUUUACAAAGUUUUGUUUUAUUUGGGGUAAAUGUAGAUAAUUCAUUUAUUUUUAGAACCUAAUGGAAUAUAGGAUAAAGUUACCUUGGGGAUAACUGAGUAAAGGGCGGAAAGAGGUCUUAUUGAUCCGUUUGUUACUACCUCGAUGUUG
rnacentral:rRNA from 1 species